CUACGGGCGGCAGCAGUGAGGAAUAUUGCACAAUGGGGGGAACCCUGAUGCAGCAACGCCGCGUGGAGGAUGACGCAUUUCGGUGUGUAAACUCCUUUUAUAUGUCAAGAAAAUGACGGUAGCAUAUGAAUAAGCACCGGCUAACUCCGUGCCAGCAGCCGCGGUAAUACGGAGGGUGCAAGCGUUACUCGGAAUCACUGGGCGUAAAGGACGCGUAGGCGGGUUGGAAAGUCAGGUGUGAUAUCCUACAGCUUAACUGUAGAACUGCACUUGAAACUUCUAAUCUAGAGUAUGGGAGGGGUAGAUGGAAUUAGUGGUGUAGGGGUAAAAUCCGUAGAUAUCACUAGGAAUACCUAAAGCGAAGGCGAUCUCCUGGAACAUUACUGACGCUAAGGCGUGAAAGUGUGGGGAGCAAACAGGAUUAGAUACCCGCGUAGUC
rnacentral:rRNA from 1 species